CCCCCCCCCCCCUCCGGCCCAGGGCGGGCUCCGGGUCAAAGAAAACAGGGCCAGUGACACCGUGCAGAGCAAGAGCGGAGCGGCCUGCUGGACACCUCGGAAGUUCCAAUAUGGAGUCACUGUGGCCAUGAGGGUCGUGUCCAGUGCUGUCAGGACCGAGGUGACGGUGUAACAGGAACGCUGGAGUGUGGCUGUGUCCCCAGUCGCGCCCGGAGCCCUGCCGACUUCCGCCCACCGGGCAGGUGCCACGGCUGCUGGUGCCACGGCUACGGCCGCCGCCUGACUUGAGACCCACGCCCUCUGCCACGUGUGGACGCCGCCAGUGACCCAGACAUCCCACCAGACACUCUGCUGCUGCCGGCGCUCCCCUCCCCUCUCCGAGGGUACCAUGCGCGCGGCUCUAUUGGCUCAUGGGAGGCAUCCGCUAACACACCGGCGAUGUGGACAGACCCAGCGGGGGUGAGUGGCUUUUCCCGGGGACACUCCGUUGCUCACGGCACGCACCUCGGAGUGCCCCACGGCUCUGACAGCGACAGCUCUGCCACCCAUGCAGCCACAGCGUGGCUCUCAGGGAUCCGUGUAACAGCACAGCGGACGAGAAAGAACUCAGUGGGAAUUCCGUCUCAGAACGACAGAAACAGGUGACACGUCAGGAGAGCGGUGGCCGUGGGAGGGUUAGCGACUGACACAAGGAAGCUGGGAGGGGGGUGCUGGUGGUUAGGAUCUGUUCUUUUUAACUGGAUAUUGGUUACCAGUGGCUCCAUUUGUGAAAAUUUAUCAAGCCGUUCAUAUA